rnacentral:rRNA from 1 species
GGGGAAUAUUGCACAAUGGGCGGAAGCCUGACGCAGCGACGCCGCGUGAGGGAUGACGGCCUUCGGGUUGUAAACCUCUUUCAGCAGGGACGAAGCGAAAGUGACGGUACCUGCAGAAGAAGCACCGGCCAACUACGUGCCAGCAGCCGCGGUAAUACGUAGGGUGCAAGCGUUGUCCGGAAUUAUUGGGCGUAAAGAGCUCGUAGGCGGUUUGUCGCGUCGGCUGUGAAAGCCCGGAGCUCAACUCCGGGUCUGCAGUCGAUACGGGCAGACUUGAGUGUUGCAGGGGAGACUGGAAUUCCUGGUGUAGCGGUGAAAUGCGCAGAUAUCAGGAGGAACACCGGUGGCGAAGGCGGGUCUCUGGGCAACAACUGACGCUGAGGAGCGAAAGCGUGGGGAGCGAAC